GAAUUAUGAAAGUUGGUACUACUGAUACAAAAGUUAGAAGUGAUGUAAUAUAUUUUAAAGGAGGUGUUACUGAUUCAAAAUUUGGAAUAAAUUUUUGAAAGGAGGUAUUAAUGAUUCUAAAUUUAUAAUGAAAUGGAAUAUAUUUUCAAAGGAGGUGGUAUUACUGAUUCAAAGUUUAUAAUGAAAUGGAAUAUAUUUUUAAAGGAGGUAUUACUGAUUCAAAGUUUAUAAUGAAAUGGAAUAUAUUUUAAAGGAGGUAUUACUGAUUCGAAAUUUAUAAUGAAAUGGAAUAUAUUUUCAAAGGAGGUAUUACUGAUUCUAAAUUUACAAUGAAAUGGAAUAUAUUAUAAAGGAGGUAUUACUGAUUCAAAGUUUAUAAUGAAAUGGAAUAUAUUUUAAAGGAAGUAUUACUGAUUCAAAGUUUAUAAUGAAAUGGAAUAUAUUUUAAAGGAGGUAUUUCUGAUUCAAAAUUUAUAAUGAAAUGGAAUAUAUUUUAAAGGAGGUAUUACUGAUUCGAAAUUAUAAUGAAAUGGAAUAUAUUUUCAAAGGAGGUG
rnacentral:lncRNA from 1 species